rnacentral:rRNA from 1 species
GUAAGGAAUAUUGGUCAAUGGACGGAAGUCUGAACCAGCCAUCCCGCGUGCAGGAAGAAGGUCCUAUGGAUUGUAAACUGCUUUUAGCAGAGACGAAGACCUUUCAUUUAUGAGAGAGUGACGGUAUCUGCGGAAUAAGCACCGGCUAACUCCGUGCCAGCAGCCGCGGUAAUACGGAGGGUGCAAGCGUUAUCCGGAAUCACUGGGUUUAAAGGGUGCGUAGGCGGGGGAUUAAGUCAGUGGUGAAAGCCUGUAGCUUAACUACAGAAUUGCCAUUGAUACUGAUUUUCUUGAAUUGGGUUGAGGUUAGCGGAAUGUGACAUGUAACGGUGAAAUGUUUAGAUAUGUCAUGGAACACCGAUUGCGAAGGCAGCUAGCUGGGCCUUGAUUGACGCUGAGGCACGAAAGCGUGGGUAGCGAACAGGAUUAGAAACCCGAGUAGUCC